GUCACGACGCCGCCAGCUGAUCGGAGACUGGAGCCGGUGUGUGCUGGGCGCAGGGAAGACACAGCGCCGCCGGCCGUGGGGAACGGACGCACUGAUUUGCUCCCUUACCCUCAGCAACCCCCCCACCCAGCACCAGGAGCGUGUCCCUCCCACAUCCUCACCUGGCUGAGCCGCAGUAGUUCUUCAGUGGCAAGCUUUAUGUCCUGACCCAGCUAAAGCUGCCAGUUGAAGAACUGUUGCCCUCUGCCCCUGGCUUCAAGGAGGAGGAGGAAGAGGAGAAGGAGCUGCUUUCCCCUUCAUCUGGAAGGUGACAGAACUGGGGCUGGGAAGGUCCGAACAGUGGGAGGGAAGGGGACCUUGUUCAGUUGGAGAGCCUUCAGCCAGAUUGGCCCAGCAAGAAAGAACAAUUUCAGAUUAGAGACCCUGGUUGGUUUGGGGAAUAGAUGGCUGUGACCAACCAAGGAUAGUUGGUCUACACUGGUGUGACAAGAGGAGGAUGAUGACAGGAGCAAAGAAAACUGUCUACCCUUUUACCCAGAUGUCUUUCUUGGCCCUCCUUCCUUGUCUCCCUUUCACUCCUACUGCCUUUCCAGGUGAGGUCCAAAGUAAAUUUCUUCUUCAGGAAAAAGGUCAUACCGAGACUCCCAUCUGAGUAGUCAUCCCCAUGCUCUUACCUUUUCCUCUAUUUCCUUGGACUGGCCUAGACUCUAGAUUCAGGAAUAAUCACCUAUGUGUGGGACCCUUAGACCUCUUGUCUCAGCUUCUCCACCUGUGAGAUGGGGAAUCACAUGGUUGAGUAUGCAGGAGGGAAUCAGAAGCCUACUUCUACAGGCUACUCAGAGCCUGGGCUGUCCUCUCCCUGUGGGUGGGAACAAAACAGCUUUUCACAUAAGCUAUUGCCCCUCCCCCCCCAUCCAUGAACACCAUAGCCGAAGGGGGUGCUAGGGUUAGACCAGUGCAAGGGGCCGGGAGGAGCUCAGUCUCUCCAUUGACAUCCCACCAUGCAAAGGUGGCCCCAGGCUUCCUCUGCCACCCGAAACAGGACGGCAGCCCCUGAUGGGGUUGCAACUGCUGUUCCUGUUUCUUUCCUCACUUUACCUUCCAGGAUAAUUUGUGAGACCCUGCUCCGGCUUGUGCAGGCAGACAGUUCUCUCCAGCAACGAGGAGAGAGUCUCCCUCCAGCCCCGGGUAUGUGGCUCUGCCAUCCUCACCCAUCAUGAAGUAAAGAUGAGGAAGAGCAGCCUGGGGACACAGAGGCAGGCAGAAGACCAGUGAAGGACCAGGCCUGGAGAGCACAGGGCCCUGUCUGGGCACCCCGCAGAGGGGACCCAUAAAGGGCAGGAGCACCCCAGGAGGAGGGAGGACAGCCAGCUCCCAGCCAUCUGCCUCAUUCACUAUUUCUCUCCAGUGUUACUUACUGCCUCCCUCAGAGAUAUGAGACUGUAUUAAAUUGUCCUGCGGCUUCAUUCUCCUACUUCUCCCUCCCUACCCUGUAAUUUUUAUAUAAAGCAGCCUCAAGGAACAAGAACCAGCUGUGAAAGGACAUACGAAGGAAAUUCAUAGAAGAAAUUCAAAAUGGAUAAAACCAUGAAAAACAAAGUGUGUUUCAUUAGUAAUUAAAGAAAGACAAAUAUAGCUGAAAGCAUUUUUCCCUUAGCAAACUAUAUUUUAAAAAAAGAAAGACCCAGUAUUGGCAAAGUAAUACUAAAAUAACACUCCUAUACAUUGCAUAUGGGGGUGCAAACUGGUACGGCCUUCCUGGAUGUCAGUUUGGUAAUAUGUCUCAAAUACCCUAAAAGUUUCCAUCGCCUUUGACCUAGUCAUUCUACAUUUGGGAAUUUAUCCUGAGAAAAUAGUUAAAGAUUUAGUCGCAAGAUGCUCAUCCCAGUAUUGCAAUAGAGAAAAUGAGAAGCAACUGUCUGAUUGGGAAUUCAUUUCUUUUCUGCUGUAAUGAAAAUUUGCAAUGGGGGAUUGCUUAAGUAAAUCAUUGUAUAUCCAUCCAGAUGGUGUACCGCACAGCCAUUAAAAGUCAUGUAGAAGAACAUUUGACUGGAAAGAAAAAUGCUCUUUGAAUAUUAAGAAGGUUAUAAAAAUAAUGUGUAUUAUGUGAUCUCAAUUUUGUUUUUUAAAAAGAUGGGUAUAUUCUUGUAUACAUAAAACAGAUGAAAAAGACAAAAUGUUAAUGGUGGUUAUCUUUGCACAGUGGAACAAAGUCAUUGUAAUUCUCCUCUUUGGCUUUUCUGUAACUUUAAAAUUUUCUAUAUUGUGUAUGGUUUUCAUGUAAUAAAAUUUAAAAGAAUCAGUGUAAUUUUUUUAAAAGCUUGGAGAGGCGGGUGUGGAGGAAUCCAGGGGUGCCCCUAGCCCUUUGGACAUAGUGGGGUUUUGGUGAAGAAAAGGGGUUGUGAGAAUGUGGACAACUUCAUUCUCUGGGAGUAGCUGGAAUCUGCCCUUUCCAUGUAUGGCAACGGCGCUCUGAAUUACUGGCUUUCAGCCCGCUAAGAGGUGUGGAGUGGAGUAAGGAAAACAGUAAAAACCUGUCACUCUUCA